UACGUAGGGUGCAAGCGUUAUCCGGAAUUAUUGGGCGUAAAGAGCUCGUAGGCGGUUUGUCGCGUCUGCUGUGAAAACUGGAGGCUCAACCUCCAGCCUGCAGUGGGUACGGGCAGACUAGAGUGCGGUAGGGGAGAUUGGAAUUCCUGGUGUAGCGGUGGAAUGCGCAGAUAUCAGGAGGAACACCGAUGGCGAAGGCGGGUCUCUGGGCCGAUACUGACGCUGAGGAGCGAAAGCGUGGGGAGCGAACAGG
rnacentral:rRNA from 1 species